ACAUCUAAAUGUCCUCCAAUAAACACACAAUUUCUUCCAUUUGACUAAAGUCAUUUACAAAAGGUAAACAUGCUCGGCUAUAAGCUACUAGGAGCUAGCAGCUACACACCAGCUAAGCACAGAAUAGCGCACAAGCUAGACAUAGGUAGUAAUCAUUGAAUAACAAAACAGCACAUCUGUCAAUAUAAAGAAGUAUCAAAUAAUUCAAGUUGCACAUACAGAAGCUGACUAGAAAACAUCCAGGAACAAACGUGUUUGCGUCACUUCACCCUAAACACAGCUUUAGUCCAUUCCUGAGGGUUAAUAAUAAAUAGGUUGGUGUUCUUCGUAGCUAACAUUGUUCUCGGUUUGACGCAUUUAAAAGAAAGAAAAAAGACCCAAAAAAGAAGUCAGGUACCUCUGCGGAAGUCUUUGAAGUCUUGGAGUCUUUGAACUUACCUUUGUUGUGCCUGCUUGCCAGCUGAUAGGCUCGGGACCGAUAGUGAACCUGCGUCUGGGCGUAGAUGUUGUCCAGGUCUUGUCUCCAGGUAUCCGGGUUGAGGGAUCUGAGGAGCUGUUCCACGGUGUCGAAGGCAGCUACGGUUCUGUCCAAGUCCUCCAGGGAGAGAGGAACAUCCGUCACUGCAGCCUCAGCCUCGGCAUCCUGGGAGAUCAAUGUGAGUGGCCCUGGGUGGAAAAAGUUUGGACACCCCCGAUGCAGAUGACGCAAUACCAGCGCUUACUGCCGCCAAGGAGACGCUGUGAUUGGCUAGAACAGAAUGGCCCAGAUGUGCGUGACAAGCAGCGUUUAACCUCAGGAGGAGACGGCACACACAGGAAAGACCCGCCUGACCUCAUCCCGCAGCUGCUGGAAAAGCGCGAGUCCACGUAUGAGCAAAGUCAUUAAAAUCCCACAUGUCAGCUUUCAUCUCAUAAACAAAAAUCAAAUAAAUACUUUGAUGUCGACUCCAUAAUGUUUGCGGACGCACGAAAGGAUGUUGUCGCUCAAAACAUACACCAGAGAUGCCAUUAGGACUCAAAUAGUGCAUGUUUGCAUUUUUCAGACUACAUGCCGAUACUAUUUUCCUACGCUUUGAACCUUGCUGCUUAUAGAACUGUGCAUCCAAUUUUUUGUUUUUUUUUAAUCUGAGAAAAUAAGAAAAAAAGAAUGGCAAUUAAUCUGAAAAUCUAUUUUUUUUUACCCCCCCUAUUAUAAAUUAUAUCACUGACAUAGGAAAAAGGAUGGAAUGCCAUCUCCGGGUUGGGGAGGAGACCCUGCCCCAAGUGGAGGAGUUCAAGUACCUCGGAGUCUUGUUCACGAGUGAGAUCGACAGGCGGAUCGGUGCGGCGUCUUCAGUA